AUACGUAGGUGACAAGCGUUAUCCGGAUUUACUGGGCGUAAAGGGCGUGUAGGCGGUCUUGCAAGUCAGAUGUGAAAUCUCCGGGCUCAACCCGGAAAUUGCAUUUGAAACUGCAGGUCUUGAGUAUCGAAGAGGCAAGCGGAAUUCCUAGUGUAGCGGUGAAAUGCGUAGAUAUUAGGAGGAACACCAGUGGCGAAGGCGGCCUGCUGGACGACAACUGACGCUGAGGCGCGAAAGCGUGGGGAGCAAACAGGAUUAGAUACCCUGGUAGUCCACGCUGUAAACGAUGAAUACUAGGUGUGGGGGGACUGACCCCCUCCGUGCCGCAGUUAACACAAUAAGUAUUCCACCUGGGGAGUACGAUCGCAAGAUUGAAACUCAAAUGAAUUGGCGGGG
rnacentral:rRNA from 1 species